GUUUAAAGCAAUAGAUUUUAAAGUAUUCUGCAAAGCAGUGUCUGAAACACAGGGCUCUGUGGUGGGGUGUCCAUGAAGGCCCAGGGUGUGCAGUGCUCCCAGAUCCUCUCCCCGUCCCAUUCCGUGCUCUCCUUGACAUUGGAAUUGCAGUGCAGCCACCACAGGGCUUUGUCUGACAGCUGCUCCACUCCGGGAUUUCCUUACUUGCUUUCUCAGUUUGGGAAGCCUUGGGGGACUCUGGCUGAAUGGCCAUUGCUUACUCCAGGCCUGGGAAGGACACCAGGACGUGCCCACGCUGCUGGCCUGGGAGACUGACUUGGACACAGGGCCCGAAGGGUCUGGGAAGCCACAAAGCACAGAGUGACUCAUCCUGCUUCAGAAACGACUUCCAGCCUCCUCCAAGGCCACUGGUGCUUCUCUUCACUUCUGCAGGGGCUGAGGUUGUUUACAGCAGCGAAAAAUCCCCCCCCAAGAGCCCCAAGAAAGGCACUGGAGUCGUUCCUCAAGGUUGUUCAUCCUUCUUGUGUCCCAGGAUGUUCUGCAGAACCAGAGCUGCUGGGAACAUGCGUCACCAACCUUCCUUCCCCAGGCC
rnacentral:lncRNA from 12 species